rnacentral:snRNA from 1 species
GGCGUGCCUCGGCAUCAGCGUG